UUUUUUUUUUUUACGAAUGGGUUUUCCGACGAUUCCUCAUCCUCUUCUGUGAUAUUUGGGUUCUUCUUCGAUUUCUGUGUUGUUAAUUUGAAAUUUUUUUUUUAAAUUUAGGGUUUUUUGCUUCUGUUUAUGAAUAGGUUUACUCAGUAGAUUUUUAAGUGAUUUCUUUUUUUAUUUUUAAUUUAAGUCUCUUUGCUACUGUUAGUUUUAUUUAGUUUUUAUUUGAUUUUGAUGUGUUGCAUGCAAUUCGUAGUUGUUUUGAUUUGAUUCUAUGCUGGUGAUAUUUGAGCUGAAGUGAAAAAGCAUUUUCUAUUGAAGGCAAUGGGAAAAGUUCUUUUAAGAUUUAUACAUAUAUAUCUAUUGAAGGUAAUGACAGAAGGAGUAUAUUCAUGAAAAUUUAAUGGAGGAUUGCUAAUAAGCCUUAGGUAAUAUUCCUAUUGUAUAUGCUUUUUUUUUUUUUCUUUUUUUUUGCUUUUGCUUUAAGUCACUAAUAUAUUUAAAUAGUAGAACUGAAAUUCUUCACAUUGAAUGACUACAACAUUCAAUUUGAGUGUUAAUUUAUGCAUAUUAAUUUGCAAAUCUCCUUGGCCUUUCUCAUUAUGGCAUCAUUUUCAAAUGUUAAAACUGUUAUAGGUUUGUUGUUAACUAUUAAAUUUUCUUUUUUAUUCAAUCUUUAUUUUUCAAAA